UGCGUAGAAAGAACCUACAGCGGAUGUGCCUUAGUAACGGCGAGUGAAGCGGCAAUAGCUCAAAUUUGAAAUCUGUCUCUUUUAGAGUCCGAGUUGUAAUUUGUAGAGGAUGUUUCGGCUUACGCCCCGGUUUAAGUUCCUUGGAACAGGAUGUCAUAGAGGGUGAGAAUCCCGUUUAUGGCCGGCGGCUUCCGCUAUGUGAAACUCCUUCGACGAGUCGAGUUGUUUGGGAAUGCAGCUCUAAAUGGGAGGUAAAUUUCUUCUAAAGCUAAAUAUUAGCCAGAGACCGAUAGCGCACAAGUAGAGUGAUCGAAAGAUGAAAAGCACUUUGGAAAGAGAGUUAAAAAGUACGUGAAAUUGUUGAAAGGGAAGCGCUUGCGACUAGACUUGUCUUCAGUUGCUCCGCCGGUCCUUCGACCGGUGUAUUCUUCUGUUGUCAGGCCAGCAUUAGUUCGGGCGGUUGGAUAAAGGCUUUGGGAAUGUGACUCUCUUCGGGGAGUGUUAUAGCCCUUUGUGUAAUACAGCCUGCCUGGACUAAGGACCGCGCUUCGGCUAGGAUGCUGGCGUAAUGGUCGUAAGCGGCCCGUCUUGAAACACGGACCAAGGAGUCUAACAUCUAUGCGAGUGUUUGGGUGUCAAACCCGUGCGCGUAAUGAAAGUGAACGGAGGUGGGAACCUUUUAGGUGCACCAUCGACCGAUCCUGAUGUCUUCGGAUGGAUUUGAGUAAGAGCAUAGCUGUUGGGACCCGAAAGGUAUGUAGCCUCUAAUUUUUUUUUACUUCUUAUAGGCAGCAAAGUCUAAUAAGUAAGGUGUAGAGGUUAUCCCUUAUACUUUACUUAUUUGAACUUUUCUAUACGUAAUUAUAUCUGAAUUAAAACUAAUAAUUUCUCUUUUUUAGAUGGUGAACUAUGCCUGAAUAGGGUGAAGCCAGAGGAAACUCUGGGUGGAGGCUCGCAGCGGUCUGACGUGCAAAUCGAUCGUCAAAUUUAGGCAUAGGGGCGAAAGUAAGUUAUAUUUUUUUCUUAUUUUUUUUUAGGGUAAAUAGGGGGGAAGAUGCCAAUUGUUUAAUACUACCUCUUAAAUAAAUGACGUUCGGGCAAAAAUUACGUAGUAAUAAUUAAACGACAUAGGUCACGAAUUUGUUGCUGUGAGGGCUUAGCGCCUUUAUCCUACAUUACCCGUCUUGAUUCUAUAAAGUUAGAAUCGCUCCUAGGGCAGAGAGUUCGGCUCUAUAUUAUACAUUGCAUCCCUAGUUCCGUUAGUCUCCGAUACCCUCUAUUUUAUAGGAAUUUUAUACCAGAAUAUUUCUUUAUGACAAUACU
rnacentral:rRNA from 1 species